UGGGGAAUAUUGGACAAUGGGCGCAAGCCUGAUCCAGCCAUGCCGCGUGAGUGAUGAAGGCCCUAGGGUUGUAAAGCUCUUUCACCGGCGAAGAUAAUGACGGUAACCGGAGAAGAAGCCCCGGCUAACUUCGUGCCAGCAGCCGCGGUAAUACGAAGGGGGCUAGCGUUGUUCGGAAUUACUGGGCGUAAAGCGCACGUAGGCGGGUAUUUAAGUCAGGGGUGAAAUCCCGGAGCUCAACUCCGGAACUGCCUUAGAGACUGUGUACCUAGAGUAUGGAAGGGGUGAGUGGAAUUCCGAGUGUAGAGGUGAAAUGCGUAGAUAUUCGGAGGAACACCAGUGGCGAAAGCGGCUUUCUGGACGAUUACUGACGCUGAGGUGCGAAAGCGAGGGGAGCAAACG
rnacentral:rRNA from 1 species